rnacentral:lncRNA from 1 species
GCCUUGAGACUUUAAAGUUUUACGAAUUAGUAUAUAGACAUAGCCUCCUAAAUUGUUAAGAAAAUAUAUAUAUAAUUUUUUUUUACUAAAAUGUCUAUAGCCUCAAGAUCUUAGCGUCUCAAUGUAACUAACCUGAUUAUUCUCUGUUUAAUAGCAGCUAUCUUUUCUGGAGGAGUUGCUAUGUGAACAGAGAAUUCAACCGCAUCUCCCAUAUCAGGACUUCGGAAGUAGUUAGCUAUAGGUUUUGUCCCAAGAACACUAUUCGGGUAUAUGAUCUUUUGAUUAUCGUACCGCAAGAAAACAGUUGUCAAUAUGUUCAUUUCUUCCACAACCAACUGGUAAAAGAAACAACAAGAUUAGAACCAUGUCACACUAUUUAAAUAAGUCCAGCAGAUUAUUGUAUUAGGAGGGAACAAACCUGAACACCGUCAAUUUCGCAGCGGUCACCAACAUCAAAUGGGUGCAUAACGAAAAGGAAAAUGAUGGCUUCAAAGAUGGUUUUGCAUGAGUUUCCGAAUAUAAAGGCUACUAGAAGUAGCUGAGAGCUUAAGACUAGCAAGAACUUGGUUGUGGCGAUUCCUAGUAUAAGAAGCCAAAUGAUAAUGAUUAUAAUGCUAAUCAACACAUUGAUUAUGCGGUGAAGCCUGUUCACUGCUGUCUUUGUGUCGUUUAAGGUCAAUGCCAGAGCCCUCCGUUCUCUAAAUGCCUUAACCUGUGAAAAAAACGUCAAGAUAACUCUGUUUUGCAUAUGAAAAGAAUCUUGACAUAUAUAUCUAAUUUAGAACUUACCACCCAAUUCUUGAGGCAAGACUUGCUGAUCCUAAGGCUCUCUGAAGCUCCUUCAAAGAGAGCCAUGGCUCUUUCAGACUCCUCUUCAGACAGAAACCGCAAGAAGUCUUCCAUAUGUAUGUACCUAAAACCCGAUAAAAAGAAACUCAAGAUUUAAGCAUAAACCAUACUAAAAUUUUGGAGCUGUAGAUAAUUUAGUAAGAAUUUAAAUAAAUUUUGUUUUAUACAUUUUGAAAAAAUGUUUAUGGAUAUUAACUUUUAAAACAUUGAAGUGAUACGUCAAUGUUUCACUUGUCUAUGCACACUAAUGAUCAACUUCAAGAUAUAUAUACCUGGAACCAGGCUCAGUGACAUUGUGAAAAAUCUUCUUAGCUGCAAUCUUUGCUUCGCACUCGCUUCUUAUCUGCGUAGCAUGCUCACUCUCCUCAACUGUGUCCUGCAUAUGUUCAUCCAAGGUAGAAAGAGCGCCUUUUCGUAUUAUAUUCAUCAACUUGGUCAUGUUCCAAGCAGACACAUUGUCUGUAUUCAUCCUCUGCAACUGAUCAAUCCUUAUCCCUUCACCAUCUCCUUCUUUGUCAGAACCAACCCGAGACAGUCUCUGACCUUUCCCGGCUUUCAUAAAACUCUUAACCGUCGCUUUUAGAGCUGGAGGCAACUUAGCUCCAGCCAGUUUCUCUAAACUCUUAACAUCAUCCGUUACUUUCUGCUCUUCUUCCUCCAUUCUCUGAAUCUCCAUCAAAGGAGGUCCAGAGAGGGUUUCAAUCACGUACUGAGUGAACAAUGAUUCUUGAAUCCUAUCAAAGUAAGUGCUCAUGUGGAAAGAUGAAGCAAGAACCUUGACCAGAAGUGUCUUAAUCAACCAAAUGAUCACAGCAACAAGGAGACAAACCAACACUCUCGUCACGUACCUAAUGGCAGUAGUCCGGGUCUCUCUUUCCACUUUCUUAUCGAACAAGAAGUGCCACGCAAGCAACACGAGCCCUAACCACAAGGUGUUUUGAACAGACUUUCUAACUCCGUAGACGAAAUACAAAACCCUCUUUCUCAAAACGAAGUUCUUCUCGGCCGAGAAGACGAGGAUCCUCACUAUCCAGCUCGAGACUAGUCUCCCGCAAAUCAACACCAAAACCGUCACUUCCCAUUUCCACAGGUCCAGCUUCCACCAUGUCUUGCGCCGCAAGCUAUGUACCGUUAAGCUACAGACCAAACUGGUGACUAUCAGAACUAAACUUAUCCAUUCGAGCAAAACCCAAAUGCUGAGUUUGUCUCUUUUGAACACGUCCGGUAAGUCCUCGUCCAGAAACGGAUCUUCCUCCUCGUCUUCCUCCAGCGUCCCGGUUCGAGAUGGAGUUCCCGGUUUAGGGCUUUUUCCGAGAAAACCGGUUUUCCGACCGGAUCUCAUCUCUGUUUUGUCGAUAGCUGGAUGCGUCGGUGUUGGAGGAUCCAUAAGUCUUGACUUCGUCUGGUUCCUCCUCAGUAACGGUUUCUUCACGACCUCUGCUUCGUCUCUGUUGGCCUUGUAGUGACGGCUCUCCUCGUCGCUGCUCCCACCGAGUGAGAUUCUGUUCUGUCUCCUUCUCACCGCGUCGGCUUUUCCUUUCGCCGUGAACGGAGAAGACCUCCAUGUACUAGAACAGUAUCAAAAAUGUCUUGAACCCCAUUUCAAUCACUAUAUACUUAUUCUUGAAUCACAAAUUACUACUUCCAGAGAAUAGAAAACUGUUACCAAACCACUCAUACAUAUAUAUAUACAUACACAAAAAUCAUAUUCUGCUUGCUUACGCGCAAUGAAAAAUCCCUUACUUCCCUUGCUCAACAAGUCUUUACAGUUCAGGCACCGCGUUGAUGCAAACAAGCUGGAGGCAGACGGUCAGAAGUACCCGGAGUCACCGGAGGGAAACUUUUAAUAUUAAUGCCUUGAGGAUAUAAACGAUACUCAAUAUCAAGCUCUCUACAAGCUUUCCCAACUUCCUCUAGUAAUUGACUUCUCCUUAUAAACCUCUCUCCCAUGUCUUGAAAAUUCAUUCUGUGUGUCAACCACACCGCAAUCUUCACGCUUUUCAAGUCAUCCAUGUUUAGGAACACAAUCAUAGGUGCCGGAUACCAAUGAUCCUUCUUGAAGUCUAUAUAACUGCAUGAAAAAAAAACAAAUGAAAGUUUGGCCUUGAGACUUUAAAGUUUUACGAAUUAGUAUAUAGACAUAGCCUCCUAAAUUGUAAAGAAAAUAUUAUUUUUUUUUACUAAAAUGUCUAUAGCCUCAAGAUCUUAGCGUCUGAAUUUAACUAACCUGAUUAUUCUCUGUUUAAUAGCAGCUAUCUUUUCUGGAGGAGUUGCUAUGUGAACAGAGAAUUCAACCGCAUCUCCCAUAUCAGGACUUCGGAAGUAGUUAGCUAUAGGUUUUGUCCCAAGAACACUAUUCGGGUAUAUGAUCUUUUGAUUAUCGUACCGCAAGAAAACAGUCGUCAAUAUGUUCAUUUCUUCCACAACCAACUG